rnacentral:rRNA from 1 species
UACGUAGGGUGCGAGCGUUGCCCGGAUUUAUUGGGCGUAAAGGGCGCGUAGGCGGCCACGCACGUCCGUUGUGAAAUCGCCCGGCUCAACUGGGCGGGGUCGGCGGAUACGGCGUGGCUGGAGCAAGCUAGGGGGCAAUGGAAUUCCCGGUGUAGUGGUGGAAUGCGUAGAGAUCGGGAGGAACACCCGUGGCGAAGGCGGUGGCCUGGGCCGAUGCUGACGCUGAGGCGCGAAAGCGUGGGGAGCGAUCCGG